rnacentral:rRNA from 1 species
UACGGGGGGGGCAAGCGUUGUUCGGAUUCACUGGGCUUAAAGGGCGCGUAGGCGGGUGGCCAAGUCAGGGGUGAAAUCUUUCGGCUCAACCGGAAAAUUGCCUUUGAUACUGGCCGUCUGGAGGGAGGUAGGGGCAUGUGGAACUUCCGGUGGAGCGGUGAAAUGCGUUGAUAUCGGAAGGAACACCGGUGGCGAAAGCGGCGCGCUGGACCUCUUCUGACGCUGAGGCGCGAAAGCCAGGGGAGCAAACGGG